GAGCGGCCGACGUCAGAUUAGGUAGUUGGUGGGGUAAAGGCCUACCAAGCCGACGAUCUGUAGCUGGUCUGAGAGGACGACCAGCCACACUGGGACUGAGACACGGCCCAGACUCCUACGGGAGGCAGCAGUGGGGAAUUUUGGACAGUGGGCGCAAGCCUGAUCCAGCAAUGCCGCGUGCAGGAUGAAGGCCUUCGGGUUGUAAACUGCUUUUGUACGGAGGGAAGCGGCUUCCACUAAUACUGGGGGCUAAUGACGGUACUGUAAGAAUAAGCACCGGCUAACUACGUGCCAGCAGCCGCGGUAAUACGUAGGGUGCAAGCGUUAAUCGGAAUUACUGGGCGUAAAGCGUGCGCAGGCGGUCUUGUAAGACAGGUGUGAAAUCCCCGGGCUUAACCUGGGAACUGCACUUGUGACUGCAAGGCUGGAGUACGGCAGAGGGGGAUGGAAUUCCGCGUGUAGCAGUGAAAUGCGUAGAUAUGCGGAGGAACACCGAUGGCGAAGGCAAUCCCCUGGGCCUGUACUGACGCUCAUGCACGAAAGCGUGGGGAGCAAACAGGAUUAGAU
rnacentral:rRNA from 1 species